UUGGAGGAUUUAAAGACUUUAACUUGCAGACUUGGAGGUUUUGAAGACUUCAACUUGCAGACUUGGAGUAUUUGAAGACUUCAACU
rnacentral:pre_miRNA from 1 species